GUCGGUGUUUAAUUUAUGAGUGCACCACCUCUUCCCAUUCCGAACAGAGAAGUGAAAUCCCAUAGACUCGAUGAUACUUGGACUAAAUCAAGUCCCGGGAAAGUAGAGUAUGCCGACA
rnacentral:rRNA from 1 species